GACGAACGCUGGCGGCGUGCUUAACACAUGCAAGUCGAACGGAAAGGCCCUGCUUUUGUGGGGUGCUCGAGUGGCGAACGGGUGAGUAACACGUGAGUAACCUGCCCUUGACUUUGGGAUAACUUCAGGAAACUGGGGCUAAUACCGGAUAGGAGCUCCUGCUGCAUGGUGGGGGUUGGAAAGUUUCGGCGGUUGGGGAUGGACUCGCGGCUUAUCAGCUUGUUGGUGGGGUAGUGGCUUACCAAGGCUUUGACGGGUAGCCGGCCUGAGAGGGUGACCGGCCACAUUGGGACUGAGAUACGGCCCAGACUCCUACGGGAGGCAGCAGUGGGGAAUAUUGCACAAUGGGCGGAAGCCUGAUGCAGCAACGCCGCGUGCGGGAUGACGGCCUUCGGGUUGUAAACCGCUUUCGCCUGUGACGAAGCGUGAGUGACGGUAAUGGGUAAAGAAGCACCGGCUAACUACGUGCCAGCAGCCGCGGUGAUACGUAGGGUGCGAGCGUUGUCCGGAUUUAUUGGGCGUAAAGGGCUCGUAGGUGGUUGAUCGCGUCGGAAGUGUAAUCUUGGGGCUUAACCCUGAGCGUGCUUUCGAUACGGGUUGACUUGAGGAAGGUAGGGGAGAAUGGAAUCCCUGGUGGAGCGGUGGAAUGCGCAGAUAUCAGGAGGAACACCAGUGGCGAAGGCGGUUCUCUGGGCCUUUCCUGACGCUGAGGAGCGAAAGCGUGGGGAGCGAACAGGCUUAGAUACCCUGGUAGUCCACGCUGUAAACGGUGGGUACUAGGUGUGGGGUCCAUUCCACGGGUUCCGUGCCGUAGCUAACGCUUUAAGUACCCCGCCUGGGGAGUACGGCCGCAAGGCUAAAACUCAAAGGAAUUGACGGGGCCCCGCACAAGCGGCGGAGCAUGCGGAUUAAUUCGAUGCAACGCGUAGAACCUUACCUGGGUUUGACAUGGAUCGGGAGUGCUCAGAGAUGGGUGUGCCUCUUUUGGGGUCGGUUCACAGGUGGUGCAUGCCUGUCGUCAGCUCGUGUCGUGAGAUGUUGGGUUAAGUCCCGCAACGAGCGCAACCCUUGUUCACUGUUGCCAGCACGUUAUGGUGGGGACUCAGUGGAGACCGCCGGGGUCAACUCGGAGGAAGGUGGGGAUGACGUCAAGUCAUCAUGCCCCUUAUGUCCAGGGCUUCACGCAUGCUACAAUGGCUGGUACAGAGAGUGGCGAGCCUGUGAGGGUGAGCGAAUCUCGGAAAGCCGGUCUCAGUUCGGAUUGGGGUCUGCAACUCGACCUCAUGAAGUCGGAGUCGCUAGUAUCGCAGAUCAGCAACGCUGCGGUGAAUACGUUCCCGGG
rnacentral:rRNA from 1 species